CUCCACCUCUGCGCCGGCGCCGCCAAAGAAGCUUGACUCUCGAUAGCUCUACUCCGUGCGUGUUUGUGUUGUACCUAUUCCUGGUCCUCACGGCCCGCUGGAACAAACUGAAAAGAUUUCAGGAUGCUCCCAAUCAGGUUUGUUGGUGUGAAAAAUACCUGCUAAAACAGUGAGUGAUCUUGGCAACAAUUUCUUCAGCAAACCAGCUUGGGCUGAAAAUAGGCAUCCUAUGCUCACGGGUGACAACCUAUUGUUCAUGCUACCAUGAGGUUGCACGGACAACUCAUAGGGUUGAUCUGUUGAUCUACAUCUUGGACAAACAACAUGCAUGAACAGUGAGCUAGAUCCACAACUUAGUAUGAAGUUGAACUGCAUUGUUUUGGGGAAAUUGUGUAGGUUUUGUAAUCAUUGAAAGUUUCUUUCUGAAACACAGAUCUUUUUAAUGAUUGUUGCAACAGUAUUCUUCUGGUUAUAGGAGUCAUAGAAUGCCACCAUUUCAAGAAUUUAAAGUUGACCGUCACCCAAAAAGCAUGAUGAUAAGGAAUUGUUUAUAACAUAUUUCCAAAUGAAAAUUAUGUAAGAGAAUGGGUAUGGGGAGAAAGAAGAAGGGAGCGAGGGAGGGAGAGAGGAAGACAGGGAGAGGGAGAGAGAGGACUAAAAAACUCUAGAGGCUAUAUUGAAAAAGUGAAAAAGGUUAAUAAUGGCUAGCCAGAUUGUAAUGAUGACAUUGAUUGUAUGCAGUGUCAAGCAGAUUACUGGGUGGACUCUCCAUGAAGGAUUUAUGGGAGACUGUGGACAAGAACAACUCGGCAUGGGAGGGCAUAGAUGGCUUACCAUUUGCAUCAUCAGAGAGAGAAUAUUUCCAUCUACAAGAUCAUAGAGCCAUCACAUGAUUGAAGAAGACUUAGCUUUUGUUUUCUAGUCUGGAUUACAAGAAUUCCAUUUAAGAAAAUGAUUUGUGUGUUUUCUUAUAAAAACAGGUGUUUAUAUAAUAUAUCAAAGCAUAAUACCAGGUCAGGGCUAUUUCAUCUUUGUGAAAUUACAUGGUAUCAGAAUUAUACAUUGUAUGCAGUUUUCAACUCUGCUUAUUCAUACUUUUUAAACCAAAGGUUAUGAAUAACUGAAAAUUAUAUGUGUGUAUAUAUAUCUUGUAUAUAUCUUAAAGUAAUUUUAUUUGCCCUUAUUAAAAAAAAACAUUGCUUAAUUAAAAUUCCCCGCCUCAUGUUUACUUAAAAUUACCAUUUAAACUUAAAUUUGAAAUUCCAUUUAUAUUUAUUUUAUUGUGGUAACUGAGUUUUGAGCUGAGCACACUACCUAGCAUAUGGUAAGCACUUAAUAAAUAUUUAUUAUGUAUGACUA